rnacentral:precursor_RNA from 13 species
AGGAUUCCAGUUGACCUAUGGCACGGUGUGAACAGGUUACAUGUGGAGCAGUGUGAUAGUGGAAUAUGCUGCAUCACCUGUGACCUCCCUCCACCGCAGUGUGUCUCUCCAUCUGGAGAUU